UACGGAGGGUGCAAGCGUUGUCCGGAUUUAUUGGGUUUAAAGGGUGCGUAGGUGGUUUGAUAAGUCCGGGGUGAAAGCCCACAGCUCAACUGUGGAACUGCCCUGGAUACUGUCAGACUUGAGGGUAGACGAGGUUGGCGGAAUAGAAGGUGUAGCGGUGAAAUGCAUAGAUACCUUCUAGAACCCCGAUUGCGUAGGCAGCUGACGAGGCUACACCUGACACUGAGGCACGAAAGCGUGGGGAGCGAACAGG
rnacentral:rRNA from 1 species